rnacentral:lncRNA from 1 species
CGCGGCAGGCUCAGGUAAGAGCCAAGGGCGGAGGACAGCGAGCCAGGACGGGAACGUGAGGGUGUCCCUGCAGCCAAGCCGCUCCGGAAAAAUUUAUUGCUUGUGACACAUUGUCAAAGUGAGACGCGCCUCAUUAAUCAGAGCUGAAGCAAACAAGAACACUCCUUAGCGAAUUAGAAAAAAUUAGGGAGGCUCUCCGGAGCUUAACAGCCUCCCUCGUCCCCCGGCUCCUGGGGCCGGGGAGCAGGACACGAUCACGUCCGCCGCCGUCUAACCCGGGGGGCCAGGCAGCACCACGUAAAACACCUCCUCACCCGCGGGACUCGUGAUGCUCGCCUCUUCCCACCCCGGGAAAGAAAACGCGACAACUUUAAACACGGCUUCGCCUCGGCUGCAGCCGUUUUGCAUAAGCUAUGCAGCAGACCGCCUUCGUUAGCGCGCGUAACCGCAGGGCAGCCUGCUGCUCCCUGCUCCGGAGGGCUUUGUUUUAAAUAGCAAUCGGCUCAGUCCAUGAAUUAUGCCAGCGACGGUGCAAGCAGCGCUUUGCUUUGGGUUUCACUGCCGGGGCCGUGGUGAGGUAGGAGCCCGGCACCGUGCGAGCGCGACCUCCUCCCUGCAUGGAGAUAUUCAGCUUCACUCCCCUCUGCUUUCCGUCCUCCCUCCGUCUGGCACGAGGCCACCUCCCUCUCCCCGCAGAGGCUAGCGUCGGCUCGGAGACCCGAGCAACAGCUUUUCCCCCUCCCCUUCAGCGAAACAGCCAAUUCCCAGGUUUAAAUAAGCAGCAGCAGGUCAGGGAAGCUGGCAACCGCCAGGUGCAACACGCGGCCGGCUGCAGAAACGCAGACCUCGAGCAGCCACGCCGGCACUCGGCGACUUCUAAAAUUUAUCAACCAGGGGAAUCCUCCAGGUCGUUCCUGCCUUGCCCGCGGCACCCCGAAGUUUUGCACCGCCGCUCUUCGCCCCAGCCUUCCCGCCACUGCAGAGCUCGGCCCGCGCCGUGGGGUCCUGCAAGCGCCCGAGCCCUCCGCUUUCCAAAUCCGGCACCGAGCAGCCCAGGAGCUGAAGUCGGACCCCGGAAAGCCCAGCAGAUCCGUCAGGCAGGUCCAACAGUGCAGAACAAGCCUGUUUUUCUCUGCACAGGGAUAGGGGGACGCCGCAGAAAAACGAGCGGCUUUCACCCGGGUAACACCUCCAAUUCCCAACCAAGGAGCCCAAAGAAGAGACAACUCUGCUCCACCUACACAAGCACCAAACAAGAGAAGGGAGAGCCUGGAUUCGGACGGUUUCCAAGAUAACAUCCUCACGGCACAGUCCCUGCUCCCCGCAGCAGCCAGCGCAGAGGCACAGCUCACCGCACACAGCCACCUCCUAUCACUAAAACACAACCGCUGCCACCAAAGCCCUCCCUAGCACGCACUGCGGCCAGGGGAGGAUUUGGGAAGCAGAGCUGUGCACAGACACACAAGCCUGGAGUUACCAGCAGGGUGCAGCCAGCACCUCGCAGGGCUCCACAUGCCACCGGAAAGGAUCCCCUUUAGAGCAAAAAGGGGACACGUGAAAUAGCUGAGCAAGACUAACCCGCAGGGAUUGCAAGGAGCAGCACAGACUCACCUUGCUGCCUGGAUGCCUGCUAGGAGAGCGGAUGCCCAACCACCUCUGCCAGGGCCAAACCAGCCCCAGCUGCUCCCCCAGGGCUCAUAUAGCCCCUGCAGGGAGCCCCGCAGGUGUCCAGCAUCUCCUCCCCUCCCGGGCUGCCAGCUCGCUCCCUGCCCUUUUGCAGCCACGCACAGCUGUAGCCCUUUUGGCUGCUGAAGUCAGGUCCGAAUCGCUACCCCGGGGACUGCAGCGGCUCGCAGAACGAAACAGCGAGCGGAGUCUGCUGCUGCCGCGUCCCACUGCCCGCCGCGAUGCUCGUGCCCGGGGCAGGCGCGAGAAGCGGGAGCCCCCCUGGCCCCACCGCCCC